GACGAACGCUGGCGGCGUGCUUAACACAUGCAAGUCGAACGGAAAGGCCCUGCUUUUGUGGGGUGCUCGAGUGGCGAACGGGUGAGUAACACGUGAGUAACCUGCCCUUGACUUUGGGAUAACUUCAGGAAACUGGGGCUAAUACCGGAUAGGAGCUCCUGCAGCAUGGUGGGGGUUGGAAAGUUUCGGCGGUUGGGGAUGGACUCGCGGCUUAUCAGCUUGUCGGUGGGGUAGUGGCUUACCAAGGCUUUGACGGGUAGCCGGCCUGAGAGGGUGACCGGCCACAUUGGGACUGAGAUACGGCCCAGACUCCUACGGGAGGCAGCAGUGGGGAAUAUUGCACAAUGGGCGGAAGCCUGAUGCAGCAACGCCGCGUGCGGGAUGACGGCCUUCGGGUUGUAAACCGCUUUCGCCUGUGACGAAGCGUGAGUGACGGUAAUGGGUAAAGAAGCACCGGCUAACUACGUG
rnacentral:rRNA from 1 species